GAUGAACGCUGGCGGCGUGCUUAACACAUGCAAGUCGAACGAGAAAUGUAGACGGAAACCUUCGGGCGGAAGCCUUCAUUUCGAGUGGCGGACGGGUGAGUAACGCGUGGGUAACCUGCCUCAUACAGGGGGAUAACAGUUGGAAACGACUGUUAAUACCGCAUAAGACCACAGCAUCGCAUGAUGCGGGGGUAAAAACUCCGGUGGUAUGAGAUGGACCCGCGUUCGAUUGGCCAGUUGGCGGGGUAACGGCCCACCAAAGCGACGAUCGAUAGCCGAUCUGAGAGGAUGACCGGCCACAUUGGGACUGAGACACGGCCCAAACUCCUACGGGAGGCAGCAGUGGGGAAUAUUGCACAAUGGGGGAAACCCUGAUGCAGCGACGCCGCGUGAGUGAAGAAGUACUUCGGUAUGUAAAGCUCUAUCAGCAGGGAAGAAAAUGACGGUACCUGAGUAAGAAGCCCCGGCUAACUACGUG
rnacentral:rRNA from 1 species